rnacentral:rRNA from 1 species
GAUGAACGCUGGCGGCGUGCCUAAUACAUGCAAGUCGAGCGAACGGACGAGAAGCUUGCUUCUCUGAUGUUAGCGGCGGACGGGUGAGUAACACGUGGAUAACCUACCUAUAAGACUGGGAUAACUUCGGGAAACCGUAGCUAAUACCGGAUAAUAUUUUGAACCGCAUGGUUCAAAAGUGAAAGACGGUCUUGCUGUCACUUAUAGAUGGAUCCGCGCUGCAUUAGCUAGUUGGUAAGGUCACGGCUUACCAAGGCAACGAUGCAUAGCCGACCUGAGAGGGUGGUCGGCCACACUGGAACGGAAACACGGUCCAGACUCCUACGGGAGGCAGCAGUAGGGAAGCUUCCGCAAUGGGCGAAAGCCUGACGGAGCAGCGCCGCGUGAGUGAUGAAGGUCUUCGGAGCGUAAAACUCUGUUAUUAGGGAAGAACAUAUGUGUAAGUAACUGUGCACAUCUUGACGGUACCUAAUCAGAAAGCCACGGCUAACUACGUG